rnacentral:rRNA from 1 species
UACGUAGGGUGCGAGCGUUAAUCGGAAUUACUGGGCGUAAAGCGUGCGCAGGCGGUUCGUUGUGUCGGCGGUGAAAGCCCCGGGCUCAACCUGGGAAUGGCCGUUGAAACUGGCGAACUGGAGUGUGGCAGAGGGGGGUGGAAUUCCCGGUGUAGUGGUGAAAUGCGUAGAGAUCGGGAGGAACACCUGUGGCGAAGGCGGCCCCCUGGGCCGGCCCUGACACUGAGACGCGAAGGCGUGGGGAGCGAACGGG